GUGAGGAAUAUUGGUCAAUGGGCGAGAGCCUGAACCAGCCAAGUAGCGUGAGGGAUGACUGCCCUAUGGGUUGUAAACCUCUUUUGCAGGGGGGUAAAGUGGUCCACGUGUGGAUCAUUGCAAGUACCCUGCGAAUAAGGAUCGGCUAACUCCGUGCCAGCAGCCGCGGUAAUACGGAGGAUCCGAGCGUUAUCCGGAUUUAUUGGGUUUAAAGGGAGCGUAGGCGGGGGUUUAAGUCAGCUGUGAAAUGCCGUGGCCCAACCAUGGAACUGCAGUUGAAACUGGACCUCUUGAGAGUACAUAAGGAAGGCGGAAUUCGUGGUGUAGCGGUGAAAUGCAUAGAUAUCACGAAGAACUCCGAUUGCGAAGGCAGCUUUCCGGGGUACAUCUGACGCUGAAGCUCGAAAGUGCGGGAAUCAAACAGGAUUAGAAACCCUAGUAGUCC
rnacentral:rRNA from 1 species